rnacentral:rRNA from 1 species
AGGAUGAACGCUGGCGGCGUGCCUAAUACAUGCAAGUCGAGCGGUAAGGCCACUUCGGUGGUACACGAGCGGCGGACGGCUGAGUAACGCGUAGGAACGUACCCCAAACUGAGGGAUAACUGCUCGAAAGAGUAGCUAAUACCGCAUGUGCUCUAAGGAGUAAAGCUUCGGCGGUUUGGGAACGGCCUGCGUAUGAUUAGCUUGUUGGUGAGGUAAUGGCUCACCAAGGCGACGAUCAUUAGCUGGUCUGAGAGGAUGAUCAGCCAGACUGGGACUGAGACACGGCCCAGACUCCUACGGGAGGCAGCAGUAGGGAAUUUCCACAAUGGACGAAAGUCUGAAUGGAGCAACGCCGACGUGCAGGAUGGAAGGCUUUACGGGUCGUAAACUGUACUUUUUAUAUGUUGAAGUAGUUAUAGACGGUAG